rnacentral:rRNA from 1 species
UGUAAAAAAAUAUGAAGAUAUCAAAAGUGAGAAUGCUGGCAUGAGUAACGUUAAAUAAUCAGAAAAAGAUUAUCGCCGUAAGCUUAAGGUUUUCUAUUAUUGGAUAAUCCGAAUAGAGUUAGUCGGCCCCUUAGAUUACUUUAAUAUGAAAAUUUAUUUUAUUGAAGGGUAAAAGAAAUAAUAUUUCUUUAUUUAGGGUAUAGUGACAAAUUUUUUUUUUAUUUUAUUUUUAGUUUUAAGCUUUAUAAAUAUAGGUAAAAAAAAAUUUCGUGAAAAAGCUUCCCUUUUAAAACCGUACUAAAACCGACACAGGUAAGCAGGUAGAGUAUACUAAGGCGCUUGAGAUAACAAUAUUGAAGGAACUCGGCAAAUUGCAUCCGUAACUUCGGGAGAAGGAUGACCAACUAUAAAUUAUAUAUUUAUAUGUUGGUGGCACAGAAUUGGGGGUAGCGACUGGUUAUUAAAACCAUAGGAUUCUGCUAAGUAGUAAUAUUAUGUAUAGGAUCUGACGCCUGCCCAGUGUUGUAAGGUGAACUUGGAUUGUUAUUUUUAGCAUGAAGAUUAAGCCCACAGUAAACGGCAGCCGUAACUAUAACGGUUCAAAGGUAGCGAAAUUCUUUGUCAAUUAAUUGUUGACCUGCAUGAAUGGCGUAACGACUUCCCUACUGUCUCCAGUAUUGACUCAGUGAAAUUGAAUUCUCCGUGCAGAUGCGGAGUACUAAUAGCUAGACGGAAAGACCCUAUAGACCUUUACUGCAUUUAUGUAUUGUCAUAUAAGGUGCAAUGUGUAGGAUAAACAGUAACUUAUGAUACUUCAAUUUUGGUUGAAUGUGGAGGUGUCCUUGAAAUAUUGUUCUUUGUUAUCUUUAUGACUAAUUAGUUUUAACAGUGCAUAAUUGGUAGUUUUGCUGGGGCGGCAGGCUUUUAAAGAGUAACAAAGCUGUACAAAGGUAAGCUCAAAAUAAUUUAUGUUAUUUGUAGCGUUUAAUGGCAUAAGCUUGCUUGACUGUAAAAUUGAUAAAUUCAGCAGGGACGCAAGUCGGUCAUAUAGAUCCGAUGAUACCAGGUGGAUGGGUCAUCGCUUAACGGAUAAAAGGUACCUUAGGGAUAACAGGCUAAUAACUCUUGAGAGACCAUAUCGACGGAGUUGUUUGGCACCUCGAUGUUGACUCAUCACAUCCUGGAGCUGAAGUAGGUUCCAAGGGUUCGGUUGUUCGCCGAUUAAAGUGGUACGUGAGUUGAGUUUAGAACGUCGUGAGACAGUUUGGCCCCUAUCUACUAUUAGUGUUAAAAAAUUGAAAAGUGUUUUUUCUUGUACGAGAGGACCGAAAAGA